UAGGGAAUCUUCCGCAAUGGACGCAAGUCUGCCGGAGCAACGCCGCGUGAGUGAAGAAGGAUUUCGGUUCGUAAAACUCUGUUGUUAGAGAAGAACAGCGCAUAGAGUAACUGUUAUGCGUGUGACGGUAUCUAACCAGAAAGCCACGGCUAACUACGUGCCAGCAGCCGCGGUAAUACGUAGGUGGCAAGCGUUGUCCGGAUUUAUUGGGCGUACAGCGAGCGCAGGCGGUCAAUUAAGUCUGAUGGGAAAGCCCCCGGCUCAACCGGGGAGGGUCAUUGGAAACUGGUUGACUUGGUUGCAGAAGAGGAGGGUGGAAUUCCAUGUGUAGCGGUAAAAUGCGUAGAUAUAUGGAGGAACACCAGUGGCGAAGGCGACUCGCUGGUCUGUAACUGACGCUGAGGCUCGAAAGCGUGGGUAGCAAACAGG
rnacentral:rRNA from 1 species